AGCGAACGCUGGCGGCAGGCCUAACACAUGCAAGUCGAACGGAUCCUUCGGGAUUAGUGGCGGACGGGUGAGUAACACGUGGGAACGUGCCCUUUGGUUCGGAACAACUCAGGGAAACUUGAGCUAAUACCGGAUGUGCCCUUCGGGGGAAAGAUUUAUCGCCAUUGGAGCGGCCCGCGUCUGAUUAGCUAGUUGGGGAGGUAACGGCCCACCAAGGCGACGAUCAGUAGCUGGUCUGAGAGGAUGGUCAGCAACACUGGGACUGAGACACGGCCCAGACUCCUACGGGAGGCAGCAGUGGGGGAUCUUGCGCCAUCGGCGAAAGCCUGACGCAGCCAUGCCGCGUGAAUGCUGAAGGUCUUAGGAUUGUAAAAUUCUUUCAGCGGGGACGAUAAUGACGGUACCCGAAGAAGAAGCCCCGGCUAACUUCGUG
rnacentral:rRNA from 1 species